rnacentral:rRNA from 1 species
CCCUUAGAUGUUCUGGGCUGCACGCGCGCUACACUGAAGCUAUCAACACGUUUUCCCUCCCUGAGAAGGGCGGGUAACCUUUUGAAUCAGCUUCGUGGUAGGGAUCGGGGCUUGCAAUUGUUCCCCGUGAACCAGGAAUUCCUAGUAGACGCGAGUCAUAAGCUCGCAUCGAUUAAGUCCCUGCCCUUUGUACACACCGCCCGUCGCUACUACCGAUUGAACGUUUUAGUGAGGCAUUUGGACCGACGCAUCUCAGUUUAACCGCUGGUUUGUGUUGGAAAGACUUCCAAACUUGAGCGUUUAGAGGAUGUAAAAGUCGUAACA